GGGGGUAUAGCUCAGCUGGGAGAGCAGCAGACUGAAGUCCUGUAUAAUGAGUCUUUCUUCUGAAGGUCCCGCGUUCGAUCCGCGGUACCCCCA